CCGUGGUAAUUCUAUGGCUAAUACAUGCGCAAAUAUCCUUUUUCGCAAGAAAGAGGAUAGUGUUUAUUAGAUACAGAACCAAUACACCAUCUGUUUAUCAGGUGGUGUAAAAAAGGUGAUUCAUAGUAACCGAACGGAUCGCAUUAUGGUCAUUUUAUAUGGCUGGCGAUAGAUCAUUCAAGUUUCUGACCUAUCAGCUUUCGACGGUAGUGUAUUGGACUACCGUGGCAGUGACGGGUAACGGGGAAUUAGGGUUCGAUUCCGGAGAGGGAGCCUGAGAAACGGCUACCACAUCUAAGGAAGGCAGCAGGCGCGCAAAUUACCCAAUCCUGACUCAGGGAGGUAGUGACAAGAAAUAACAACACUGGAAAUUUUAUUUCUAGUGAUUGGAAUGAUGGGAAUUUAAACCCCUUUCAGAGUAACAAUUGGAGGGCAAGUCUGGUGCCAGCAGCCGCGGUAAUUCCAGCUCCAAUAGCGUAUAUUAAAGUUGUUGCAGUUAAAAAGCUCGUAGU
rnacentral:rRNA from 1 species